UGUUUGCUGGUUUUUCUUACUUCCUUUCAUUUUGUGUCAAUGAAUUCCUAGAGAGUCAGGUGAGGGGAGUUCCUAAUUAAUCAAUAAAGAUCUAGAGAGUCAGGUGAGGGGAGUUCCUAAUUAAUCAAUAAAGAUCUAGACAGUCAGGUGAGGGGAGUUCCUAAUUAAUCAAUAAAGAUCUAGAGAGUCAGGUGAGGGGAGUUCCUAAUUAAUCAAUAAAGAUCUAGACAGUCAGGUGAGGGGAGUUCCUAAUUAAUCAAUAAAGACCUAGACAGUCAGGUGAGGGGAGUUCCUAAUUAAUCAAUAAAGACCUAGACAGUCAGGUGAGGGGAGUUCCUAAUUAAUCAAUAAAGACCUAGACAGUCAGGUGAGGGGAGUUCCUAAUUAAUCAAUAAAGACCUAGACAGUCAGGUGAGGGGAGUUCCUAAUUAAUCAAUAAAGACCUAGACAGUCAGGUGAGGGGAGUUCCUAAUUAAUCAAUAAAGACCUAGACAGUCAGGUGAGGGGAGUUCCUAAUUAAUCAAUGACCUUUAUUGAUCAAUCAAGUACAAGAGAGUAGUGAAAACCUGCAGACCCUCGAGGACUGGAGUUUGACACUAUCCCAUAAGCAACGUCUCUGUCUCUAAUCAUAUCAGAAUGUAGCCUGUUAAACGUACCUGCUUAACCAUUAACUAAUAUGUUCCUGUAUAGAUAUACACAUUACAGAACUCUGUAGGAAUGCAUGAGGUUAUAUAACUAACUAUAAUUGUCCAUCUAUGUAAUCAGUCCAUUGAUGGAGCAUACAACUACGACCUGUAGUUGUAGUUCCAACUGAACAGAUGAUGUGUAGUAACCAGUAAAGGCCUCUGCAUCCCGAAUAGCUUCCUAUUUAGGGCACAUAGGGCACUGGUCAAACGUAGUGUACUAUAUAGCAAAUAAGAUGCAAUUUGGAACGCAGAGGCAUAUGUAACAGCCAGUCAAGGCCCUCGCAUGUAAAGGGUAGGAUGACUAUUCUCAUGUUGGAUGUCUCAAAUAAACGGUAUGAUGGCUA